AUCUCUGCUUGGAGACUGCCUCCUUUGGAAGUUUCUAGAAAGGUCUGGUCCUGAAAAAGGGUACCCAUCAUGCCCAUUCCUAAACCAUGGAGCAGCACCUAUGGCCUCUGAAGCAGCAGGAUGCUGUGGCAUUCAUAGCCUCUCCCCCGUACUCCACUUGAAAGGGAUUUUAGAUGGAAAAGAAGAGGAAAAGAAGAUGGUUCCCCUGGGAUGCUCUUGAAGAGUUCUUCUCUGACAUUCUGCUGUCAUUAAGACAUCCUAAUUCCGGGUGGAUUCUCAGAGUUCUCAUCAGGCUCAGCAGGUCUGUCCCACCUCUAAGAGUUAAUGCUUGUAAUCUUGUCCCACAGAAGAAAAUGUGUGGUCAGUUUGUCAGAGAAAGAAAAAAAAUUGUUCAUGCAGCCCAUGGAAGAGACCUGGCAGGUCUCUCCAUGAACCAGCAAGUAAAAAGGUAUUAAUUCCUUCCAUCUGCUGAGGAGCCUUUCCUGCCCACUGGAGAUGUCACUUCUCCUUCCUGUUCAUCUGACUCCAAAAAAACUUUUGUUUUUUCUCCAGCCUGAAAGAAGCAGAAGUGUCCCAGUUAAAGGACAGUUGCUUAAGUCCUUUGCUGCUUUUCUACUCUUUACCACCUUGGUCAAAAACAGGAAUGUCCCUCUCAGCUGCAUGGCUCCCAGGGGAGCCUGAGCUGUCCUGGGUACUGGCAAUUUGGGAAGCCAGUGGAUGCACAUCAGUAUCCCCUUCCUCUUCUCUAUGGGCUGCUUCACAGGCAUUGUGUGACACUGGAUUAGGCUAGAAAGAAAAGGUCAAAAUGGAUAUUACUGCUUGUUGGAGAUGUCUGUUUUCAUCCAGGGAUGCACCCAUGCAGGGAAGUUUUUACUUUGCACUUGAAUUGUACAGAAGCUGCAAUAGCCACCCUUUCUCCCCACUGCUUGAGGAGCUGCACCACCAGUCUGUUACAGAGCCUGACUUUCCUAGUGUAGAUGGAUGAGGUCAUGGAGAAAAAUGCAUGAUUAUUUUACUUGAAUAGUUUAAAUUUCCCAGUACCAAAUGCCCUAGGAGUCUUUGCAAUUAAUCUUACAACACAAGAAUAGUGACCACCCAGCAGUAGUGCAGAUAAAUCUGUUAGGCUGCGUGCACACACAGCCUGCCAACAGCAGUAAAUAAAUGCUUGUAAGUGAACUCCCACAGUAAAUCAAAGCUACAAAAAGGAACAAAAAACCCAACAUCCCCCAAAACCCAACAAACCACUACCAACAAAAGCCUUUCCCCCCUUGCUUCUGGAGCGCAUAAUCAACCUUUCUCUAAAAAUACCCUGUUGAGUGUCUUCCGCGAUUGUUGGUAAGAUUACUGAGUUCAAGUUAUUUUGGAGCAAGGCAGGAUUUAGUGAAAGCUGCAUGUUGGCUGAGACACCACAGGAUCAGAUCCUAAGAUCCAAACCAGCCCCUGCACAUGGUGAAAUCUUGCCUUGAGCUCCUUGUGAUGCUUGCCCCAUCCCAUGGAGAUAAGCUCCAGGGCUUUCCUGUGUCCCCCAGUUGCUUUCUCUUUCCUUUCCGCGUAGGAGAAAACCAUUUAACUUUGGUCUUGGCCUCAUCCAUGAUCUGGGUUGGAAAUCUGAACGGGAUCCAGUGUUAUCACAGUGUUGCCUUUGGCAGUCCGGUAUUCCCUAUAAGGAUUGAUGGCUCUCCCUGCUGAUUUGGCACCAGAUCCUUCCUCUCAAGUGUCGUCAUAUUCGUCCUCUUGGGGUAAAUGGGCUCAAAUCCAGCAGUAAAUAUAUAAAGAGAAACAUGAGGUAUGCUGAACAUUUUAUUUUAUCACAAUUAUUUAAAAAUUAUUUAUUUAUCUGGAAAGGCUUAGCUCAUACUCAGCAUCUGGUUUUUGGUCAGCUCCACCUUUUUCUUUUCUGUUUUCAAACCAGUUUUCCAGCUGAGUAGACAGAGGAACAAACCUAGACCAAACGAUUUGCCAAAGGUCACACAGAGAAUCAGAGGAUUUAUAGGGGAAUCUGCCCUGGCUUCAGUCAGCAAUUCAUGUUGUCUCUGUUUGGGUUUGUUCUGACACUAGGGGUUCCUGAUUCAGUCUUGCCAGUUCAUAAGCCUUUCUCAUGAGUCUAUUAAUAUUUGCUGCCUCUCAGAAAGCCAGCUAAUGGUUUAAGAAUUUCAGACUUGUAUGAAUUAAGCUUCUAGCUGUGGUGACAGCAGAACAAAAAUAACUUAGAGCAAAAGAAGAUUGGUGUAUCUUCUCAAGGCUUAGAAAUCAGAGUAAAGUUGCCAUUCUUUUUAAAAACUCAUAAUUUUCUAGCCUGAUUUCUGAUCUUUGGAAACUAGCCUUGUAUUUUGUGACUACUUGGAGCUCUCUUCCUGUUACUGCAUUAUUAAUACCACUGAGUUUCCUUAUAUCUUUUAUCCUAAGUGUAGUGUGUUGCUUUUUUUCCCCUUGUCUUUGGCUUUUAAGUCGAAGAUAUUGCUUUACUUUUCUUUUUCAAGUUUGAUUCAAAUUUGGAUGGUAUUUCUCUUGACAUUUAUUUUUUUAAAUUGGAAAAAUUCUGUUUUGAUGUUUUAUAUAAUUUUAUUUCUAC
ensembl:lncRNA